rnacentral:rRNA from 1 species
AGUGAACGCUGGCGGUAGGCCUAACACAUGCAAGUCGAACGGCAGCACAGUAAGAGCUUGCUCUUACGGGUGGCGAGUGGCGGACGGGUGAGGAAGACAUCGGAAUCUACUUUUUCGUGGGGGAUAACGUAGGGAAACUUACGCUAAUACCGCAUACGACCUACGGGUGAAAGCAGGGGAUCUUCGGACCUUGCGCGAUUGAAUGAGCCGAUGUCGGAUUAGCUAGUUGGCGGGGUAAAGGCUCACCAAGGCGACGAUCCGUAGCUGGUAAGAGAGGAUGAUCAGCCACACUGGGACUGAGACACGGUCCAGACUCCUACGGGAGGGCGCAGUGGGGAAUAUUGGACAAUGGGCGCAAGCCUGAUCCAGCCAUACCGCGUGGGUGAAGAAGGCCUUCGGGUUGUAAAGCCCUUUUGUUGGGAAAGAAAAGCAGCAGGUUAAGACCCCGCUGUUCUGACGGUACCCAAAGAAUAAGCACCGGCUAACUUCGUG